CAGCCGCCACGGUAAUACGGAGGAUCCAAGCGUUAUCCGGAAUCAUUGGGUUUAAAGGGUCCGUAGGCGGUCUUGUAAGUCAGUGGUGAAAGCCCAUCGCUCAACGGUGGAACGGCCAUUGAUACUGCAGGACUUGAAUUAUUGGGAAGUAACUAGAAUAUGUAGUGUAGCGGUGAAAUGCUUAGAGAUUACUUGGAAUACCAAUUGCGAAGGCAGGUUACUACCAAUUGAUUGACGCUGAUGGACGAAAGCGUGGGUAGCGAACAGGAUUAGAUACCCCUGUAGUCCCUGUCUCUUAUAC
rnacentral:rRNA from 1 species